rnacentral:rRNA from 1 species
UACGAAGGGGGCUAGCGUUGCUCGGAAUGACUGGGCGUAAAGGGCGCGUAGGCGGGCGGCUUAGUCAGGCGUGAAAGUCCUGGGCUUAACCUGGGGGCUGCGUUUGAUACGUUCGAGCUAGAGGAUGGAAGAGGCUCGUGGAAUUCCCAGUGUAGAGGUGAAAUUCGUGGAUAUUGGGAAGAACACCGGUGGCGAAGGCGGCGAGCUGGUCCAUUACUGACGCUGAGGCGCGAAAGCGUGGGGAGCAAACAGG